UGGGGAAUAUUGCACAAUGGACGAAAGUCUGAUGCAGCAACGCCGCGUGCGGGAUGACGGCCUUCGGGUUGUAAACCGCUUUCAGCCAUGACGAAGCGAAAGUGACGGUAGUGGCAGAAGAAGCACCGGCUAACUACGUGCCAGCAGCCGCGGUGAUACGUAGGGUGCGAGCGUUGUCCGGAUUUAUUGGGCGUAAAGAGCUUGUAGGCGGUUGAUUGCGUCGAAAGUGCAAACUCAGGGCUUAACUCUGAGCCUGCUUUCGAUACGGGUCGACUUGAGGAAUGUAGGGGAGAAUGGAAUUCCCGGUGGAGCGGUGGAAUGCGCAGAUAUCGGGAGGAACACCAGUGGCGAAGGCGGUUCUCUGGACAUUUCCUGACGCUGAGAA
rnacentral:rRNA from 1 species